rnacentral:lncRNA from 1 species
UGUUUUUCGAGACAGGGUUUCUCUGGUAGCCCUGGCUGUCCUGGAACUCCCUCUGACAGCCAGAGAUACAUAAUUAGACUUCAUUUUUAAAAAAUCUUAGCCCACAACUGGAAAAGAAUAUUUAAUAAAAAUGAGACCUAAGAACUUAUGUCCAUAUGUCUCAAAAGUCUGUGGUCUAGAUUUAAUUUUUUUUAAAUAAUAUUUGGGCCCACAAAAAAAAAAAAAUCACCUCUGGCUAGAGAGAGGGUUGACUAGUUAAGAGUAUGGCUGCUCUUCCAGAAGACCAGGGUUUGAUUCACAGCGCCUGCCACACCACCUCCAGUAGGAUCUGUGUGACAAGUUCCACAGACUCAGGCGAUUGACCUGGGGGCGGGGGGGUCCUGGAGCCGGUUGUGGAACUC